GGAGACCCCUAUUUCCCUCACAGAGCUACAAUUCUCAGAGCAGUUUAGCAAUCAAUCCCUUUCCCCAGGAAACUAGAUGUUGUAGCUCUGUGAGAGAGAAAGGGGUCUC